rnacentral:rRNA from 1 species
GAUGAACGCUGGCGGCGUGCCUAAUACAUGCAAGUCGAGCGAACGGACGAGAAGCUUGCUUUUCUGAUGUUAGCGGCGGACGGGUGAGUAACACGUGGAUAACCUACCUAUAAGACUGGGAUAACUUCGGGAACCGGAGCUAAUACCGGAUAAUAUUUUGAACCGCAUGGUUCAAAAGUGAAAGACGGUCUUGCUGUCACUUAUAGAUGGAUCCGCGCUGCAUUAGCUAGUUGGUAAGGUAACGGCUUACCAAGGCAACGAUGCAUAGCCGACCUGAGAGGGUGAUAGGCCACCCUGGAACUGAGACACGGUCCAGACUCCUACGGGAGGCAGCAGUAGGGAAUCUUCCGCAAUGGGCGAAAGCCUGACGGAGCAACGCCGCGUGAGUGAUGAAGGUCUUCGGAUCGUAAAACUCUGUUAUUAGGGAAGAACAUAUGUGUAAGUAACUGUGCACAUCUUGACGGUACCUAAUCAGAAAGCCACGGCUAACUACGUG